GACGGAGGAUGCAAGCGUUAUCCGGAAUGAUUGGGCGUAAAGCGUCCGCAGGUGGCAGUUCAAGUCUGCUGUCAAAGACCGGGGCUUAACUUCGGAAAGGCAGUGGAAACUGAACAGCCAGAGUAUGGUAGGGGCAGAGGGAAUUCCUGGUGUAGCGGUGAAAUGCGUAGAGAUCAGGAAGAACAUCGGUGGCGAAGGCGCUCUGCUGGACCAUAACUGACACUCAGGGACGAAAGCUAGGGGAGCGAAUGGG
rnacentral:rRNA from 1 species